AAAAAUUAAUUUUGUGAAUAUUGGUGGCAUUUCAUAAAAUUCAUUCUUUACAGCUCAAAAACUCCAAAAAAAUCAAUCUGGCCAAGUUUCAAUCCUUUAG